rnacentral:sRNA from 1 species
UUUUAAAGAAAUUUUUUACUUAUAAUAUAUAUAUAUAUAUAUAUAUAUAUUUAUAUUUGAUACAUUUAUACAAUUAUUAAUUUAUGAUAUUGAUGGGACCAUAUAUUUACAUAGGACUUUAAAAAAAAAUUAUUAUCUUAUUAAUUUAUCGAUUUGUGUCACUUUUUACAUUGGUCCCAUGUUGGGACCGAAAAAAUUUAUUAAUUUAUAGAGGUUAUUAAUUUAUAGAGUAUUAAUUUAUAGAGGUUAUACUGUAUUAAUUACUACAAUU